rnacentral:rRNA from 1 species
UACGGAGGGUGCGAACGUUAAUCGGAAUCACUGGGCGUAAAGCGCGCGUAGGCGGUUUGUUAAGUGGGAUGUGAAAUCCCCGGGCUUAACCUGGGAAUUGCAUUUCAAACUGGCCGACUAGAGUACGGUAGAGGGAGGUAGAAUUUCCUGUGUAGCGGUGAAAUGCGUAGAUAUAGGAAGGAAUACCAGUGGCGAAGGCGGCCUCCUGGAUCGAUACUGACGCUCAGGUGCGAAAGCUAGGGGAGCGAACAGG